rnacentral:snoRNA from 1 species
UGAUGAUGAUGAUGACGAGGAGGAGGAGGAACCGGGUGUUGCACCUGAUCAACCGGGUGAGGCCGGUGAGGAAUCUCCUCCCCGAUCAAGAAUCAUGGCAAUGCCGCUGAUGGGAA